rnacentral:rRNA from 1 species
UACGUAGGGUGCGAGCGUUAAUCGGAAUUACUGGGCGUAAAGCGUGCGCAGGCGGUUUUGUAAGCCCGAUGUGAAAUCCCCGGGCUUAACCUGGGAAUGGCAUUUGGGACUGCAAGGCUUGAGUGCGGCAGAGGAGACUGGAAUUCCUGGUGUAGCAGUGAAAUGCGUAGAUAUCAGGAGGAAUACCGAUGGCGAAGGCAGGUCUCUGGGCUGACACUGACGCUCAUGCACGAAAGCGUGGGGAGCAAACAGG